CCUACGGGCGGCAGCAGUGGGGGAUAUUGCACAAUGGGGGGAACCCUGAUGCAGCGACGCCGCGUGGGUGAAGAAGCGCCUCGGCGCGUAAAGCCCUGUCAGCAGGGAAGAAAAUGACGGUACCUGACGAAGAAGCCCCGGCUAACUACGUGCCAGCAGCCGCGGUAAUACGUAGGGGGCAAGCGUUAUCCGGAUUUACUGGGUGGAAAGGGGGCGCAGACGGCGAGGCAAGCCAGGAGUGAAAGCCCGGGGCCCAACCCCGGGACUGCUCUUGGAACUGGGUGGCGGGAGUGCAGGAGGGGCAGGCGGAAUUCCUGGUGUAGCGGUGAAAUGCGUAGAUAUCAGGGGGAACACCGGUGGCGAAGGCGGCCUGCUGGACUGCAACUGACGUUGAGGCCCGAAAGCGUGGGGAGCAAACAGGAUUAGAUACCCGAGUAGUC
rnacentral:rRNA from 1 species